AUUACACGUUGGGGGUUUAUCCAAUGCACACAAAGUGCUCAACAACAAAAAAAACACAUAUUCUACAAAGGGAAGUCUUAUUUGAACAUAUAGUUCACUGAACUCAUAAACAAAAAGCUGAUUUAAGUUUACUUUAGAUAAAUAAACUCCAAACAACCUUCAAAAACUAAACUGGACGCCUUCUGCAUGAUCUUCUGUAGCUGUAAACCCCGCUAUUUUGUGACAAAAGUAUUUCUAAAAAGACGACAUUUGGGUACUUCUCUCCUUUCCAAGUCUGACGGAGUUCACGUAAUCAACUGGGCUGUGGGCAGAAAUACCAGGAAGGAAAAGUCCUAGCACGCGAAGCACAACUGAUUCCCAGCAUUCCUCAUACUCGGCUCCAUAUAUGUGACCCAUUGUAAAGCUUCUGAUGAGCUCCCACCCAGCAUUCAGAUACAAUGGUAUCAGAAAUCGCAGCCCAAAAUAGUUUCUGUUUGGCUCUUCAUCGACGUUCUGCUCAACAUAUAAGCUGUUGUAAUACUGGCAAAUCCCAAAGUGUUUAAACAGGAAUGUUUUAUUAUCAUAAGGUAAUCUUGGCACAAGAUCAUUGGAAUAAACAACUCUGAAGUACUUUGGGACUGGAUGUUCCAAAUGGGCUUCCAUGAACCUCCCUAACUGUCUGUUCCCAAUCCUUGGCUGCCCAUAUGUAUAUAUCCCCAAUAACCGUUCCAUGACAUUCAUCUCCUCAUGCAGCACUAGGAUUGUCGGGAAUAAUAUAGCUAAUGCUCCACCAAGGCUAUGGCCUGUAACAACAAACUUUGCAUUCUUGUGCUCAUUGAGUAACCUUUUGAGUUUACUCCUGACAACAUAGUAUGCCGUCCUCUCUGGCAUAUCUAGUUUGAACUUCUUUGAUCCGGCAUCAGUAGGCCUAUCUGAUUCAGGCGACUGGUCUGACACACUGUGUGCAUCAGAAUCACUGAACAUGGUAGAAGAUUCAGAACUUUCUGAAGGAGCAAUAGUUGCAUCAUUCUCUAAUUUGGUGAAGUUCUGAUUAUUCAUGAACAGCUGUUCAUGAAAUGUGGAGACUUUAGCUCUGCUCCCUAAACCUAAGGCUUCCAAGAAACCCAUGUGUACUUUGCCAAGUUUUGGAAUCUCGUACCAAGAGUAGUCAAAAUCAGUGAUCCAGUCAUCAGCAUCAAAAGGCUCUGUGCCCCUGAAGCUGAUGACUAUCAAGUUUGCAUCUUUUGGCUUAUCACACAAUAUAAAAACCUGGGUGGACAUCUCUUUCUCGAAAUCAUUCCAACAAUUGUAGAAAUCCACAAAAUGCAUCUUCCAGUGAAUAUUUACGACAUUCUGAACGACCUUUGCAUUCUCGUAGGCCAACUUUGAAGCCAUCAUACAGAGGUCCAUAAGGGCUCUGUGUCCUAUUCCAAGUUGAAUAUCUUUCUGCCAGAAAUCAGGCUCUCCAAUUUCCUUGGUUAACGUCUCAGUCCUGUAUAAGUCUAUACGCCCAUCUAAAUGCCCAAUCGCACUUAUAAACGUUUCUGACCCUCUCUGUGGCAUCACCACCUUUCCAUGCAAUAUAUUGUAGAAAAGGCCAAAAAAGUUGCCAUUGAGAGAGAGAAGGUUGAGGAUGAAGUCGAGGAGAUACCCAAACCAUUCCAUGGGUUUACCGAAAAUGGCGAUUAAUUUGCGCACAAUAACGGAGACAAAUAUAACCCAUCGAUGAUCUCCGGCAGUGGUAUCGUCAUGAACACGUGUCAACUCUUCCGCCACCACAGGGGUACCGCCGUCGGAAUAGUGGAGAAAUUUAUGAGCGUUUUCCUUGUUAGCUGAUAGGAGAAAGCGCAUGAGGUCCAAAAUUCCUCCAUCUUGGUAAUUCACAAUCAAAAACCGCGAAUUCCCAG
rnacentral:misc_RNA from 1 species